UUUGUUAAUAUUGGCUAAAGUCGUGGAAAACCUGGAAAAUGUUCAUUCUAAGUCAUCAUUGAAGUACAACUUGGUAAACUAGAAAACACAUCAAAUUCAGUUAUAAAAAUUUGAGUAACUAAGGUAUGCUAAUUAUUGUAUUGCCUGAGAGAGUGUCAUUGCUAUUAAAAGCAGUGAAGAAUUCAAGUACUCUGGAAGAAAAGAAAAUAAGUAAGUAAAUGGUCAAUUAUUUGGCACAAAUCGGAGUUAAAGACAAAGGAGAUUGUAUAUUUUAUUUGCUAAGAAUAGUUUUUUAAAAUGGCCUAGUUGUAAAAUUAAACUAUGCAGGGAGAGGACAAAAAAUUGGAAUAGAAAAAAUGUUGAUUGCAUAUGCUGCUAUUGGUAAAUGGUUUAGAAAGAAACUGUGAAGUCAAAUAA
rnacentral:lncRNA from 1 species